rnacentral:rRNA from 1 species
ACGGAGGGGGCGAGCGUUGUUCGGAAUUACUGGGCGUAAAGGGCGCGUAGGCGGCUCUAUCAGUCAGACGUGAAAGCCCCGGGCUCAACCUGGGAUGUGCGUUUGAUACUGUAGAGCUAGAGACCGGAAGAGGAUGGCGGAAUAUCCAGUGUAGAGGUGAAAUUCGUAGAUAUUGGAUGGAACACCAGUGGCGAAGGCGGCCAUCUGGUCCGGGUCUGACGCUGAGGCGCGAAAGCGUGGGGAGCAAACAGG